rnacentral:rRNA from 1 species
AUGUUCAUGAACUUGAAAAAUGAUUUCGAGUUUGAACAAAGAAAGUUUACCAAAGAAGACAUCAAAGAAAUUAUAUUUAGGGAGAUACUGGAAUACCUCCCUCAACUUCUCAAGGAUUACAUGCACGGAUCUGAAAAUACUUACUAUGUCCUAUGUUUCUACCUUGACAUAUCUUGCAAUCUGCUAAGAGGAAGAUGGUGGAAAGAGCGGGCGAGUCGAGAGAAAACAUUUUCUUCUCCCAAGGUGUCGAACUACACUACCAGCAGCAGAGGCUGCACCUUGUCUUUAGCAAAGACGGAAAGCCUGCUAAUUAAUGAUACAGGGAGAUGA